rnacentral:lncRNA from 1 species
CCCCCCCCUCAAACUUCCCCACUCUCUCACAUCUCUUUCAAUUGUCCAAAUCCUAGCCGCCCCAUUUUCCUCCACCUUAAACUACCACCAAACCCUAGCCGCCUUAAACCCUUCCCCCAAACUGCCGCAGGAAAUCGCCUAAGUCAGCGGCAAAGACUAAAACCACCACAAAUCAAUCUCACUCUCUCCUAUACUCCUACUAAACCCCAUCUCACAAGUCCUCACCCCCAAAAUCCUAUAAAAACCAACAAACAUACACCUAAAAUGACUGAAACCCUAGCGCUGCCCUAACUCCGCUGCCGAAAAUGGCCUAAGGCGGUGAUGAAUCUCCAAAACCACUCAAAAUCACCCCAUAACUUCCCCUUACUCUCCUGAACCUUGAUGUAUCAACCAAAUCCCCCAAAAAAACUAACCAAUAACCAUUUAUCUUAGAUCUAGGGCCUCUGAAACCCUAGAUUGUUUUUCAAAACCCUAACCCUACCUAGUUCGUCCAAAAAUCCUCUUGCCAAUAUCUCCCAUUAGGAAUCUCAGAUUCCCGAUGCGUUCAUUUGCAUGAGGGUUUUUAAGCGGCUAGAUUUAUUUUACCCGCUAUUUUCUAUUUCUUUACUAUUUUUUCUUUAUUAUUAUUGUG